GGCUUAACCGACUGAGCCACCCAGGCGCCCCUGCUGAGUCUUUUUAAUAAAAGGGUUCGGUGCUGUUAUUUUGCCUGCAUCUUGGAGAGGUGUUCCGCUGGUCCUUGUGUCACCUGUCUGCCUACAGACGGAUGUGGCUCUUCGCAGCCGUGAGGCUCUGCAGGGCAGCGCAAGGUAAAAACACACCCAAUCCUCCUGUGUGGAGUCUGGGAAACAAAAUUUCUGGGUUGGAAACAUUUGGCCACUGUUGUUUGGCCUGCAUCCGUUCGUUUGCGUGAAUUAUUUAAACAUGUAAUUUGCUUGGAGGAGUGGGAGCGGCUCUUUCUGCUUUCCAUAUUUUUGUUUUCAAAGUGGAAAAAGACUGAAUACUUAGAAACUGUUUCCAUAGAUGAUACCAGACAGAAGAAAAAAUUCUUUCUAAAUUAAGAUGUUUUUUGCCUAUCAAAUCGAAUAACUUUUAAAUAUCAUUUAAACGUAAUUCCCUAGGUUUGUAAAGACCGGGAAAGGCUUGGGGAGUAUGAAUUCAUAUACCCUUUAUAGAAGGUAAUCUGGCAGUAAGCCUUUCGAUUGGUUGUGCUCCUUUUUAUGGGAAACGUUGGAAAAUAAUGAAAUAUUGAGGUUCCCUAGGUUCACAGUCUGUUACGUAAACCAGGCAUGUGCUGUCCGCUUAUCUGCUGAAUUUCCUGAUUGCGCUGGACCCGACGGCUCUGCUCCAUAGGAAACCGCGCCUCCCUUUGUCGCUGGCCUUUUAUCACCUUCCACGCGCUGUUGUCUUAUUUGUCAGCCUUACAGGUGGGGGCCGGGGACGUUUCACACCCUCUACAGCACAGGCUUCACCAGCUGACUGGGGGAAUCUAAAUGGGAUUCUGUAGAAGCAUCAAAGAAUCGUCGACUUUCCACCAAAUUACUUCUUCCAUAGGCUAAAGAGAAAUAUCACCUAAGAAGUUAAAACUAGCUUUGAUUCCUUUUCUACCCUCCAUUCUAAAAGCAGCAGUUUCUUCAGAUCUCUGCUCUGCCAAAUCUCAAGGAACUUCCAGAAAACCCCAGUCCCAACAAGAGUGGUGACCCAAGAUGAAGAAGAGCUUCUGAACACACCUGCUUCCUUAAGAUGCUCUCUGCAGAGUUCUGAGGAAGUCUUAAUUGUGACGUGGCAGAAAAUGAAGGCUGUGAGCCUGGGAAACGUGGUCACCUUCAGCAAGAAGCAGGGGGUGGUAGUCCAGCCUGCCUACAGGACAAGAUAAACGUCACCCAGCUGGAACUCAGGAACUCAACCAUGACGUUCUGGAAUACCACGCUAGAGGAUGAAGGGUGUUACAAGCUCUUCAAUACUUUUGGUUCUGGGAAGAUCUCAGGAAAAGCCUGCCUCACCUUCUCUGGGGGAUGGGACAGAAAGAGAGAGAGAGAAACUCAAGCAGGC